GAUGAACGCUGGCGGCGUGCCUAAUACAUGCAAGUCGAACGGGGAGAUUGUAGCAAUACGGUCUCCCAGUGGCGAACGGGUGAGUAACGCGUUGGUGACCUGCCCCGAAGAGGGGGAUAACAGUCCGAAAGGAUUGCUAAUACCCCAUGUGGUCAUUUGGAUUAGAUGCCUUAUGACUAAACGGAUUUAUUCGCUUCGGGAGGGCCUGCGUCCCAUCAGCUAGUUGGUAAGGUAAUGGCUUACCAAGGCGAUGACGGGUAGGGGACCUGAGAGGGUGGCCCCCCACAAUGGAACUGAAACACGGUCCAUACACCUACGGGUGGCUG
rnacentral:rRNA from 1 species